rnacentral:sRNA from 1 species
AUUCUUGACACAUAAUUUUUAUCUAUGUAAAGUUUGGGUAAUUUAUGUUUUCUUGUUCUGAUCUUUGUUGUAUAUUAGUUUAAAAUUAGGGUGAAUUAACUAAAUAACUAAAAUCUCGAAAGAAAUUAAAUAAGUAGCACCAUAAGUUGUAGAAUGCAGAGAGUAACGCAUCUGUGGUGUGAAGUUACAACACAAUCCCUAACACAACGUUGUGUGAUUGCUUAGACGUGCGUGAGGGGAAAAGGAAGAUGAAUUCUUUCAGCUGACGUGGGCGCUGGUAAAGCUAGUAAAAAAAAUUUCAUAGCACCGCUUUACAAUUGUCCGAUCACUAACAUAGCCUGCAGUGUAUAAGAUUAAUUUGAAUAAAAUACUCCCCCCAAAAAUAUGAGAGGAGAAUAUGCUCUGCUUUUCUAUUAUUGACAGUUAAUGUUGUACCUUUUACGCAAAGAUCUCAAACUGUAAACAUAACAAUAUGGAUGGUGGUGCAAAAUAGUUCAGCAGUUAAUAAGGAGAAUCCAACGGAAAAGGUACAAAACCAUCGCUUUCCAGUUUGUGUUUUUACUUUCUGCAGAUUCCAUUUAAUAUUCAACCCUUUCCAUGUCAAAGCAGUUACUUUCCCUUUUCGAAUCAAGUACUUUCCGUGAUCGUAGAUCUGAUAAACAAGUUGUUAAUAUUUUCUAAAAAUCGACCAUGCUUAACUGUUUCUGAAUAUUUGACCAUUAUUACUAACCAU